UACGUAGGGCGCAAGCGUUGUCCGGAAUUAUUGGGCGUAAAGAGCUCGUAGGCGGUCUGUCGCGUCGGCUGUGAAAACUCGGGGCUCAACCCCGAGCCUGCAGUCGAUACGGGCAGACUAGAGUUCGGUAGGGGAGACUGGAAUUCCUGGUGUAGCGGUGAAAUGCGCAGAUAUCAGGAGGAACACCGGUGGCGAAGGCGGGUCUCUGGGCCGAAACUGACGCUGAGGAGCGAAAGCGUGGGGAGCGAACAGG
rnacentral:rRNA from 1 species